rnacentral:rRNA from 1 species
UACGGAGGGUGCAAGCGUUGUCCGGAUUUAUUGGGUUUAAAGGGUGCGUAGGCGGCCCGUUAAGUCAGUGGUGAAAGCCUCCAGCUCAACUGGAGAACUGCCAUUGAUACUGGCGGGCUUGAGUACAGACGAGGUAGGCGGAAUUGAUUGUGUAGCGGUGAAAUGCGCAGAUAUCGGGAGGAACACCAAUGGCGAAGGCAGCUCGCUGGGACGGUACUGACGCUGAGGCGCGAAAGCGUGGGGAGCAAACAGG